rnacentral:rRNA from 1 species
UGGGGAAUAUUGGACAAUGGGGGGAACCCUGAUCCAGACAUGCCGCGUGUGUGAAGAAGGCCUUAUGGUUGUAAAGCACUUUAAGCGAGGAGGAGGGUACUGGUAUUAAUACUACCAGGUACUGGACGUUACUCGCAGAAUAAGCACCGGCUAACUCUGUGCCAGCAGCCGCGGUAAUACAGAGGGUGCGAGCGUUAAUCGGAUUUACUGGGCGUAAAGCGUGCGUAGGCGGCUAAUUGAGUCGGAUGUGAAAUCCCCGAGCUUAACUUGGGAAUUGCAUUCGAUACUGGUUAGCUAGAGUGUGGGAGAGGAUGGUAGAAUUCCAGGUGUAGCGGUGAAAUGCGUAGAGAUCUGGAGGAAUACCGAUGGCGAAGGCAGCCAUCUGGCCUAACACUGACGCUGAGGUACGAAAGCAUGGGGAGCAAACAGG